rnacentral:tRNA from 1 species
GUUACGGUAGCCAAGUCUGGCCCAAGGCGCAGGGUUGCUAACUCUGUGGCGUCACUGCCUCCGGGGUUCGAAUCCCCGCCGUAACG